rnacentral:rRNA from 1 species
AUAAACCCGGGAAACUGGGUAUAAUACCCGAUAGAUCUCGGCUGCUGGAAUGCAUCGAGCUCUAAAGCUCCGGCGCCUGAGGAUGGGUCUGCGGCCUAUCAGGUAGUAGUGGGUGUAGCGUACCUACUAGCCUACGACGGGUACGGGUUGUGAGAGCAAGAGCCCGGAGAUGGAUUCUGAGACACGAAUCCAGGCCCUACGGGGUGCAGCAGGCGCGAAAACUUUACAAUGCCGGCAACGGCGAUAAGGGGACCUCGAGUGCCAGGUUACAAAUCUGGCUGUCGUGAUGCCUAAAAAGCAUUGCAUAGCAAGGGCCGGGCAAGACCGGUGCCAGCCGCCGCGGUAACACCGGCGGCUCGAGUGGUAACCGUUAUUAUUGGGUCUAAAGGGUCUGUAGCCGGCCGGAUAAGUCUCUUGGGAAAUCCAGCAGCUUAACUGUUGGGCUUUCAGGAGAUACUGUCUGGCUCGAGGCCGGGAGAGGUGAGAGGUACUUCAGGGGUAGGGGUGAAAUCUUGUAAUCCUUGAAGGACCACCAGUGGCGAAGGCGUCUCACCAGAACGGACCUGACGGCAAGGGACGAAAGCUAGGGGCACGAACCGGAUUAGAUACCCGGGUAGUCCUAGCCGUAAACGAUACUCGCUAGGUGUCGGCCACGGUGCGACCGUUGUCGGUGCCGUAGGGAAGCCGUGAAACGCAGCCACCUGGGAAGU